AUGCACGCUGGCGGCGUGCCUCAUCCCUGCAAGUCGCGCGAACGGACGAGAAGCUUGCUUCUCUGAUGUUAGCGGCGGACGGGUGAGUAACACGUGGAUAACCUACCUAUAAGACUGGGAUAACUUCGGGAAACCGGAGCUAAUACCGGAUAAUAUUUUGAACCGCAUGGUUCAAAAGUAAAAGACGGUCUUGCUGUCACUUAUAGAUGGAUCCGCGCUGCAUUAGCUAGUUGGUAAGGUAACGGCUUACCAAGGCAACGAUGCAUAGCCGACCUGAGAGGGUGAUCGGCCACACUGGAACUGAGACACGGUCCAGACUCCUACGGGAGGCAGCAGUAGGGAAUCUUCCGCAAUGGGCGAAAGCCUGACGGAGCAACGCCGCGUGAGUGAUGAAGGUCUUCGGAUCGUAAAACUCUGUUAUUAGGGAAGAACAUAUGUGUAAGUAACUGUGCACAUCUUGACGGUACCUAAUCAGAAAGCCACGGCUAACUACGUG
rnacentral:rRNA from 1 species